rnacentral:rRNA from 1 species
UACAGAGGGUGCGAGCGUUAAUCGGAGUGACUGGGCGGAAAGGGCACGUAGGCGGUUAUAUUAGUCUGAUGUGAAAGACCUGGGCUUAACCCAGGAUGUGCAUUGGAAACGGUAUAGCUAGAGUAUGGGAGAGGGAUGUAGAAUUCCAGGUGUAGCGGUGAAAUGCGUAGAUAUCUGGAGGAAUACCGGUGGCGAAGGCGGCUACCUGGCCAAACAUUGACGCUGAGAGACGAAAGCGUGGGGAGCAAACAGG